GCGGGCGUAGCUCAACGGCAGAGCACCAGCCUUCCAAGCUGGUGACGCGGGUUCGAUUCCCGUCGCCCGCUCCA
rnacentral:tRNA from 2 species